rnacentral:lncRNA from 1 species
AUUGGCAGAUGUGCCUCAGCUGUCCCUAAAGCAACCAUGGAGUCAUUGGCAGCAGCUUCAAAAGCCACAGCCUUCACCUAUGGGGAUUUUUUUGCAUGUCCUUGGUCUCCAGUGGACAUAUAUAAACUGACUUUAAAGCGAACAACGGGGUCGUACAGCCAUAUGUAUAAAGUUCUCAUAUUUGCAUCUCAGGUGUUUCCUUGGGGAAUUUGUGUCCUCAAGAAAUCUCAAGAAUUUCCUUGAGGGUUCUUCCAGUGAAGUUCUUGGUUGUUAUUCAGUAUUUCCACACUUGCCUGCAGCCAUGGUCAAUCAGUGGAAGCAGGCAGGUGCUCAAAGCUGCUGCAGUGGAGGCACAGAUGUGAGCAUCAGGACUGUCUCAUGGCAGUGGUGAAGAGGUGAAAACCAGCUGGUGUGUGGAGGCCCUUUUUGGUGCUGUUCUUCACUCAGACACUGAGCAACUGGGUUGAUUUCUGUAUCAAUAAUCUUCCAUCAUAAACUGCUCUGGUUUGCAGCUCAGCAGUAACAUCACUGUAGCCACCAGGACCUCAGCAUAAGCUGCUAAUUUUUUAAGGUCUUUGCUUACUCCUGUGUUUAUCUGUGCUCCUGUCUAUUCAGUCCAGCAAUCAUUUUUUUCUGGACUUCCCCUCACUCUCACGAGAGCACGUGCCUGUCAGUGAUGAGUGUAGUCAUUUUACAGCUUCUUCUUCCCCUCCCUCAGCAUCCAGCAUCCACGUGAUGCUCACAGAAGCUGGGCAGAUCCAUUGCUCCUGAAAGCCAGACCCUGUGCUUAUCACUUCAGUGUGUGUCCAGUCACCAGUGUUUUGUGUGUCAUCACCUGAUACUCCAGCCAGAGAUGGGUGCUGCAGCAAGGGGAAAUGAGUGGUGGGAGGAACACGUUUGCACCUUUCACCCAGUGAAUCAGGACACAGGAAUGUCAGGCAGGGAAGAUUUAUGUUAUCUGAGCUGCCCAGUAGCAGAUUUCUUAUUUCAUCAGAAAACCCCGACUUUUCCACUGAUGCAAUCCAGAGCUCUGCCAGAGGGACUGUCUUGGUGGUGUUCCGAUGUUGCCAUAUGAUCCCUUUUCCGCUCCUUUUCACAUACAGUGUGUGAAAACACACAUUUUCCCAGCAGUCCCCUUCCCAGUGCUUCAAACAAAGCCAGGCUGUCUGAUUAUUUCUCAUGACAGGUAUAAAACUGCUGGAUCCACAGCAGAAAACCUCUUGUGAUAAGGAAGCUCUCACUGCAAAUAAUAAGCCAGAUUUCCGUGGAAACCUGCACAGUUCCAGACCCUGGACAGGCCACAGAUUCUACAGCAGGGUUCUGUUCUUCUAACAGAUACCCAAAGGCAGAUUUUCUUUUAAUUAAGUAUGAAAAUAUAUAAUGCAGUCGGCAUGAUGCUUCUUGGUAUGUUUAUGAUUAUACUCCAUUUAUUUGUUUUGUUCUCAACAUCUUCUUCCAUUGGGAGGGAAUUUUCCAUACCACCUGUGUAUGAGGAGUGAAUGGGACUUAAGGAUGGUGGGAGCAAGACAGAGCUCAGUUGUGGUUUUUAUUAUCAGAGUGCAAAUGGGCACCAUUUAUGGUUGUGAACUAACACACUAACUGAUCUUUUCCAUAAAAUAAUAUUGACAUUGCAAAGUUGAUGUUUUUAAGCUGUUGUCUUUAGGUUUCAGUAUUACAAAGCUUUAGAGUCCAGUGGAGUAUUUAAUUUCUCAUUACACUUAAUGUUUCACCUUCUGUUUCCAAACUCAGAAAAAAAUAUUUAUUGUUUCAGUAAUAUUCUGACAAUAUUUUAUUAUUUUUCUCUCCAACCAAAGGACAAAAAUAAUUUAAUUUCCCCAGCAUGAAGAUAAUUCCAUGAAUCCCAGCUCUGUAGAGGGAGCUGCUCCAUAGAGCCUCUUCUCCGUGUACAGACUCCUUGGGGCUCCUACGUCCUCUGUGUCUCCCAGCUUUGAUUCUGCCUUUCUCUUUGCCUUAUUUUUCCUUUUGACUACUUUUCUGUGCUCUAAGGUCAAAGGUUUUCCCCAUGGAAAGAAAAAGUUUACCCAUUCCUAGCCUUUCCUACACUAUUUGCGCACCUAGCAUCACAAGCCCCAUACCAAGCCUGGCAGCGCUUGGGCACACAGGCACAACGGGCAGCGAGGGGCUCUCCAGCCCUUCACCUGCCUGCACACCAUGCCCUCCCUGCCGUGUUCCCAUCCCGGUGCUGCAGUUCUGCAGCUGGAGACAAUGUGCUGGAGCUUUCUGUCUGAGGGGAGUUCAGGGAGGGGAGAGGGGAAAAGGCUGUUAGAUCUAUUGCUGGCAAUUUAGAUUCAGAGACAUUUCAUCUGCAGUUCCCUCAAGUGUUGAAUUGAAUAAAACCAGAGCAGCAGUGGAAAAGGAGGUGGGGGAAGGGCUCCAACCACUCUUAGCUAAACAAAAAGAGACAGGCAGCUCAUAAAAAAGGAAUUGCACCCUUGAGUUGAAAAUCUGGAUUCACAGGGCAGGGAGGAGGCCGCGUGGCAGAGCCCACCCAUGGCCAGGCAGCACUGCUGUGGAUUUCUCGCACUCCUGCAGCCAGAGCAGAUCACAAGGCUCAAUUCUGGGUUUCCUGAUUUUCUGUUGAUUUUUUGAAGCUCUUGUUGUAAAAUCAAGCAGGAAGAACAGAAUCUCAGGCUUUGGUUGCAAUUAAAAAAAACCCUGUCCUUCACUUUCCAGUGCUUUAGGAGAAAAGUCCUCAAGGGUCAAAAAUUCAAAAGAAGUAACUUAACACUUAUAAUUUUGUAAACACUUUCUGCUGAGGGCCAUACUCAUCAUUCCCAGUUUCAGCUGCGGGAUGGUAGAAGUGUUCUCACCAUUAGGCAUUUUUGUUCCUCUGCCUUUGAGGGAAUUGCUCUGGCUAUGCACUGCAGCACCUGGAUUUCUCUGAAUCUGUCCUAUUCCCCAGGUGUCAGGUGAGGACGGCUUCACAGGAGCGCUCAUCCGGGCCAAGGCUGGGAGGAGAGCCACAGCCAUCAGAGAGAACCGGGUUACAGCAGACAGUACAUCCUCAGGGGCUCUCCUGCCUUGUGCGAGUGUGGUGCCAAUGCCCCUGCAGUGCCACAGGGCUGGCUGUGGCUUCCUUCAGGUGGGAAGCGUUCCCUGCCUAAAAAGUGUCCUCUGCCUUUGUGGUGCACCUGCAGAAUCCCACGUGAAGCACAAAGCUGGAUGCUCAAGAGCAGAGGAUCUAUCAACUGCAGACCAAGCAGAGGGAGAGGCAGGCAGACCUGGAGCAGAAAUGCAGCCAGAGCAGCAGCUCAGCCAGGACCUGGGGGCCAGCCACCAGCUACGGAAAGGAGCUUGGAGCAGGAGUCUGGUUGGUGCAUCCAUGCUGGGCUAUAGAGGCCACAGAUCCCACGGUGGUUCCAGGAGCACUCUGCCAGCCUCAGCCACCCGCAGCUCAUGGGCUCAGGAAGCAGAAAUGGGGUCUUGCAUUCCAUCAAUGUUCCCGGGGUUAGCAGGAAGGGAUUGACCUCCAGUACCCACGGUCGUGAAAAUUUCCCCUUACUCUGAAAUCAGUAACUUCUCUGACUAAGAUAGCUUCAGACAAGCGUUUGGCUGAACUUGAAGACAUCAAGAGACAGACAUCCUCCUCUGGCAGUCAGUCUCUUCACAUCACUCCCACUGUUUUGGGUUUUUUUCUU